CAUGGGUGAAAAAUGGAUGGGGGUAUUAAUUGGAGCAACCAGAGACUUGCUCGCUUGGGCCAAAGGCCCAAGUCUCACUAAAGUCCAAGAAUCCGUCCUUAUGAACACAAAAGCCAAAAACCAAAGUCCAAUGUCAUUCAGGAUAAUGCCUCUUUCACCAUGCCGGAAUGAUACACGGAGGAGACAAGAAUGACGCUCCUCAGAAUGGAAUCGCUAUAACUCCACGAAAUCGUUUUCUCCGAGUUUCAAACAAGAGAUCAAAGGGAAAAUCAAAAUGGAGCGCUCUGAAUUCCUCCUCACAACGAAUCAUCAUAGAAAUCAAAGUCGUCAGAAGAUAAUUCUUGCGUGCAGGAUCAAGGAUGAACGUGUCAUGAAUGAAAUCGACUCUUCAGAGUAAAAGACUUACAAGAAUGGUUUUCUCCGAAGCGAUUAUUCUAGGUUAUUAUCAUUAGAAUGGUAUGGCAUUGCUAUUCGAAGACAACACGAUGGAUGGAGAUGGCAAGAAGGAGAACUUGAAGAUUUGAGGGAAAUAGGUCAAUGGUUAAUAUUCAAUGGUUAAUAGGUUUCAUGUUAUGUAUCUUCUCAUUGUGUAACCUGAAUGUGGUUUGGAUUCAAUCUUGGAAUUGUAACUUGUAGGCUUUAUGAUGUAUAGACUAUUUUUGGAUCAUAUUGUAAGCUUGGAAAGUUGCGAUUGUUGUAACAUAAUUUUAUGGUUUAUGGAAAUGGGUAGUUUGAAAUUGGAUU